UACGAAGGGGGCUAGCGUUGCUCGGAAUUACUGGGCGUAAAGGGCGCGUAGGCGGGUCGUUAAGUUGGGGGUGAAAGCCCAGGGCUCAACCCUGGAAUUGCCUUCAAUACUGGCGACCUUGAGUAUGGCAGAGGUGUGUGGAACUCCGAGUGUAGUGGUGAAAUGCGUAGAUAUCGGGAGGAACACCAGUGGCGAAGGCGACUACCUGGCCUGUUCUUGACGCUGAGGCGCGAAAGCUAGGGGAGCAAACGGG
rnacentral:rRNA from 1 species